AGCAGAGUGGCGCAGUGAAAGCGUACUGCCGGGCCCAUAACCCAGAGGUCCGAGGAUCAAAACCUCGCUCUGCUA